rnacentral:rRNA from 1 species
CACAAGAUUGGAUUUAGAUACUUCUUAGUGGCAGACGGGUGAGUAACACGUAGGUAAUCUACCUCGAAGACUGGGACAACGUUUGGAAACGAACGCUAAUACCGGAUAAUUCGUAAACGGAAAACUGUUUAUGCUAAAAGGUGCUUCGGCAUCACUUCGAGAUGAGCUUGCGGUGUAUUAGCUAGUUGGUGAGGUAAUGGCCCACCAAGGCAACGAUGCAUAGCCGGACUGAGAGGUCGAACGGCCACAUUGGGACUGAGACACGGCCCAGACUCC